AACGAACGCUGGCGGCAUGCCUAACACAUGCAAGUCGAACGAGACCUUCGGGUCUAGUGGCGCACGGGUGCGUAACGCGUGGGAACCUGCCCUUAGGUUCGGAGUAACUCCCCGAAAGGGGUGCUAAUACCGGAUAAUGUCUUCGGACCAAAGAUUUAUCGCCUUUGGAUGGGCCCGCGUUGGAUUAGCUAGUUGGUAGGGUAAAAGCCUACCAAGGCGACGAUCCAUAGCUGGUCUGAGAGGAUGAUCAGCCACACUGGGACUGAGACACGGCCCAGACUCCUACGGGAGGCGGCAGUGGGGAAUAUUGGACAAUGGGCGAAAGCCUGAUCCAGCAAUGCCGCGUGAGUGAUGAAGGCCUUAGGGUUGUAAAGCUCUUUUACCCGGGAUGAUAAUGACAGUACCGGGAGAAUAAGCUCCGGCUAACUCCGUG
rnacentral:rRNA from 1 species